AUGGAGCUGCGUGUGGGAAACAAGUACUGCCUGGGACAGAAGAUCGGGAGUGGGUCUUUUGGAGACAUCUACCUGGGUGCCAACAUUGCCUCUGGUGAAGAAGUUGCCAUCAAGCUUGAGUGUGUGAAAACGAAGCACCCACAGCUGCAUAUCGAGACGGGCGGCGGGCUGGGAGGGGCGCGUGGAGCCGUAGGGGCAAGGAGUCGGGUGGCAGGACGGGUGACCCGGAGCUCAGCGCCGGCGGGCGCGGGUGUCCCAGCGAUGUGUGGCGCUGAAGCGGCAUCGGAGCGGCGGCGGCGACGGCGGCUGCGGGCUCGACCUCAGCUUCGCAGCGGCCUAAUCGAUGGCCCCGCGAGGCCUCUGCAUAGCGCCCCGGACGUGGACCCUCCCCGCCUCGCCCUGCCUCGGGAGCCUGCCUCCCCGGCAGGGGAUGAAGCCGGGAGGCGGCCGCACGGGGCCCAGCACAAAGGCUUGUCCCCGGGGGCCUCCGCCGCCAGCCUAGAGCCGCCCGCCGAAGCGGAGCCGGCGCCGGGGCCCUCAUCCCCGCCGGUCCCUGGGGACGGCUGCUGCCAGUCUCCCCGAGGCCCAGGGACCCGAGCGCGGAGCCCCUUGCUCCCUUGGCUACAGUGGGACUGGGCAGCUGUGCAGCCUCCGCCGCUCCCGGCUGUAGAGGCCUCACGGAGCACGUCGGGGGAGAGCGACAUGGAGAAAGCCAUCAAGGAAACUCCAUUUUAGAGGAAUAUAAUAUCAAUUGGACUCAGAAGCUGGGAGCUGGAAUUAGUGGUCCAGUUAGAGUCUGUGUAAAGAAAUCUACUCAAGAACAGUUUGCACUGAAAAUUCUUUUUGAUCAUCCAAAAGCUAGAUAUGAGGUACGUCUGCACAUGAUGUGUGCCACACACCCAAAUAUAGUUCAAAUUAUUGAAGUGUUUGCUAACAGUGUACAGUUUCCUCAUGAGUCCAGCCCCAGGGCUCAACUCUUAAUUGUAAUGGAGGUGAUGGAAGGGGGAGAGCUAUUUCACAGAAUCAGCCAGUAUGGCACUUUACAGAGAAGCAAGCCAGCCAAGUAACAAAGCAGAUAGCUUUGGCUCUACAGCACCGUCACUUGUUAAACAUCGCUCACAGAGACCUCAAGCCUGAAAAUCUGCUCUUCAAGGAUAACUCUUUGGAUGCCCCAAUGAAGUUGUGUGACUUUGGAUUUGCCAACAUUGACCAAGGUGACUUGAUGACACCCCAGUUCACCCCUGAUUAUGUUGCACCUCAGGUAUUGGAGGCACAGAGAAGGCAUCAGAAGGAGAAAUCUGGCAUCAGACCUACCUCGCCAACACCCUACACUUACAACAAGAGCUGUGACCUGUGGUCCCUAGGGGUGAUUAUCUAUGUGAUGUCACAUAGAUACCCUCUUUUUUACUUCAAACACCACAGCUGAACUAUCCCAAAGGAUAUGCGGAGAAAGAUCAUGACAGGCAGUUUUGAGUUCCCAGAAGAAGAAUGGAGCCAGAUUUCAGAAAUGGCCAAAGAUGUUGUAAGGAAGCUCUUGAACGUCAAACCAGAGGGAAGACUCACCAUAGAGGGAGUAUUGGACUACCCCUGGCUCAACUCGACUGAGGCCUUGGAUAAUGUGCUACCCUCUGCUCAACUGAUGAUGGAUAAGGUGGUGGUUGCAGGAAUCCAGCAGGCUCACGUGGAACAGUUGGCCAACAUGAGAAUCCAGGAUCUGAAAGUCAGCCUCAAACCCCUGCACUCUGUGAACAACCUCAUUCUGAGGAAGAGGAAAUUACUCGGCACCAAGCCAAAGGACGGUGUUUAUAUCCAUGACCAUGAGAAUGGAGCCAGAGAUUCAAAUGUUGCCUUGGAAAAGCUCCAAGAUGUGAUUGUUCAGUGUAUUCUCCCCCAUGCUGGAGAGAAUGAAGAUGAAAAGUUGAAUGAAGUAAUGGAGGAGGCUUGGAAGUAUAACCGGGAAUGCAAACUCCUAAGAGAUACUCUGCAAAGCUUCAGCUGGAAUGGUUGUGGAUUCACAGAUAAAGUAGAUCGACUAAAACUGGCAGAAAUUGUGAAGCAAGUGAUAGAAAACAAACCAAGUCCCAUGAAUCCCAAUAAUGACAGCUUCAGACUUUGUUUUUUUAACAAUUUGAAAAAUUAUUCUUUAAUGUAUAAUUUUUAUGUAAAUUAAUUAAUCAUAAUUUCAUUCCCAUAUUACUUAAAGAUGCUGUGUAGAUUUAGAUACAGGACUUAAUCAUAGUAUGGUUCAUUUGUUUGUUUUUAAGAAAAGCUCAGUUCCUAGAGAUAUACUAUUACUCUAGGACUGUUUUCUGAUAUGUUUGUAAGAUGACAGAUGGUAUCUUCAAACAAAAUUGUUUUAUUUGUAAUAAAGUGUACAAAAACCAUUCGCCAGUGGUAGACAAAGGACCGGCUAUACUGACCUGUUUAGUAAACAGUUGAAUCAAAAAAAAAA